ACGCUCGACACCUACGGAGGCAGCAGUGGGGAAUAUUGCACAAUGGGGGAAACCCUGAUGCAGCAACGCCGCGUGAAGGAAGACGGUUUUCGGAUUGUAAACUUCUGUUCUUAGUGAAGAUAGUGACGGUAGCUAAGGAGCAAGCCACGGCUAACUACGUGCCAUCAGCCGCGGUAAUCUGAGCGGGCUGGCAAGGC
rnacentral:rRNA from 1 species